GAUGAACGCUGGCGGCGUGCCUAAUACAUGCAAGUCGAACGGAGCUAAACAGCAAUGGAUAGCUUAGUGGCGAACGGGUGAGAAACGCGUUGGUGACCUGCCCUAAAGCGGGGGAUAACAGAUCGAAAGGUUUGCUAAUACCGCGUAAUGUGAUCGAGGUUAGGUGCUUGAUCAAGGAAGCUGAGAAGCGCUUUAGGAGGGACCUGCGUCCCAUCAGCUAGUUGGUGAGGUAGAGGCUCACCAAGGCGAUGACGGGUAGGGGACCUGAGAGGGUGACCCCCCACAAUGGAACUGAAACACGGUCCAUACACCUACGGGUGGCAGCAGUAGGGGAUAUUGGGAAUGGGCGGAAGCCUGACCCAGCAACGCCGCGUGAACGAUGAAGGCCUUCGGGUUGUAAAGUUCUUUUGACUGGGAAGAGAGGGGACGGUACCAGUCGAAUAAGUCUCGGCUAACUACGUG
rnacentral:rRNA from 1 species